rnacentral:lncRNA from 1 species
AUAUUUGACCUGUCCCUUCUUAUGCCUUCUUUAACAACCAUUGUAAAAGCAUCCCACCAGCAGAUGGAUAAGACUACUUUAAUCUUUUGGGUACAAAUUUUGAAUAGGAGACAAAACUGAAAACUGUUGAAUUGACUACAAGAUAAAACUGUGGUAAAAAUUUAAGGUUGUUUUCUAAUGUUUAUAGUGAAUAGCAUCCAUAGAAACAAGUAAAAACAUGUACUGUCAAUGGCUAUAUUGAAUAAAAAGAAAAAAGGAAUUGGAGACAACAAAGGUAGACAAGAGAGUUCAACCAUGGAUAAACCAUACAUUCAAGCAAAAGUAAUAAUUCAUCAUAAUAAUAUAUAGUCACUAAGAAACAAGUUUGAUAAUCCUUAAAAGGGAGACCAAAUAACUAUAAUUGCUUGGCUGGAGACAGUAAUAAACAAUUCAGCUCUCUGCAACAUUUGAUUUACUAUAUAAUCCAUGUCUUAUAUCUAUAACUUGAAACAGAUUAAAAUGUUGCCCAUAUCUUCCUCUGUACCUGUUAAGAACCAAAAUAUAUCAGUCAUUGCAUUGGUCCAAUUCAGGGAGAUUUUGAUUAAGUAGAAAAGGUACCUUUAUAAGUAUAUAUCCUGAUUGGCAAACAAGUAUUAGUAAUAUAGAGACCCUGUAGAAAUAACAAACAUGUUAAACCUUUGAAUUGGAAUGUUUUUGUCCAAAU